UACCUCAGUAACGGCGAGUGAAGCGGUAACAGCUCAAAUUUGAAAUCUGGCUCUUUCAGAGUCCGAGUUGUAAUUUGUAGAAGAUGCUUUGGGCAUUGCUCCGGUCUAAGUUCCUUGGAACAGGACAUCAUAGAGGGUGAGAAUCCCGUAUGUGACUGGUGGCAUUUGUUCGUGUAAAGCUCUUUCGACGAGUCGAGUUGUUUGGGAAUGCAGCUCAAAAUGGGUGGUAUAUUUCAUCUAAAGCUAAAUAUUGGCCAGAGACCGAUAGCGCACAAGUAGAGUGAUCGAAAGAUGAAAAGCACUUUGGAAAGAGAGUUAAACAGUACGUGAAAUUGUUGAAAGGGAAGCGCUUGCAACCAGACUUGCAGGUCGUUGAUCAUCCGGGGUUCUCCCCGGUGCACUCGGCGGCUUUCAGGCCAGCAUCGGUUUGAGUGGUGGGAUAAAGGCCUUGGGAAUGUGGCUCCUCUCGGGGAGUGUUAUAGCCCAAGGUGCAAUGCCGCCUACUCGGACCGAGGACCGCGCUUCGGCUAGGAUGCUGGCGUAAUGGUUGUAAGCGACCCGUCUUGAAACACGGACCAAGGAGUCUAACAUCUAUGCGAGUGUUUGGGUGUCAAACCCAUACGCGUAAUUAACGUGAACGGAGGUAAGAACCCUUAAGGGUGCAUUAUCGACCGAUCCUGAUGUCUUCGGAUGGAUUUGAGUAAGAGCAUAGCUGUUGGGACCCGAAAGAUGGUGAACUAUGCCUGAAUAGGGUGAAGCCAGAGGAAACUCUGGUGGAGGCUCGCAGCGGUUCUGACGUGCAAAUCGAUCGUCAAAUUUGGGUAUAGGGGCGAAAGACUAAUCGAAC
rnacentral:rRNA from 1 species